rnacentral:rRNA from 1 species
AACGUAGGGGGCGAGCGUUGUCCGGAAUUACUGGGCGUAAAGGGUGCGUAGGUGGUUUCUUAAGUCAGAGGUGAAAGGCUACGGCUCAACCGUAGUAAGCCUUUGAAACUGGGAAACUUGAGUGCAGGAGAGGAGAGUGGAAUUCCUAGUGUAGCGGUGAAAUGCGUAGAUAUUAGGAGGAACACCAGUGGCGAAGGCGACUUACUGGACUGUAACUGACGCUGAGUCACGAAAGCGUGGGUAGCAAACAGGAUUAGAUACCCGUGUAGUCCCUGAGCGGGCU